GACGAACGCUGGCGGCGUGCUUAACACAUGCAAGUCGAACGGAAAGGCCCUGCUUUUGUGGGGUUCUCGAGUGGCGAACGGGUGAGUAACACGUGAGUAACCUGCCCUUGACUUUGGGGUAACUUCAGGAAACUGGGGCUACUACCGUAUAGGAGCUCCUGCUGCAUGGUGGGGGUUGGAAAGUUUCGGCGGUUGGGGAUGGACUCGCGGCUUAUCAGCUUGUUGGUGGGGUAGUGGCUUACCAAGGCUUUGACGGGUAGCCGGCCUGAGAGGGUGACCGGCCACAUUGGGACUGAGAUACGGCCCAGACGCCUACGGGAGGCAGCAGUGGGGAAUAUUGCACAAUGGGCGGAAGCCUGAUGCAGCAACGCCGCGUGCGGGAUGACGGCUUUCGGGUUGUAAACCGCUUUCGCCUGUGACGAAGCGUGAGUGACGGUAAUGGGUAAAGAAGCACCGGCUAACUACGUG
rnacentral:rRNA from 1 species